CCUACGGGUGGCAGCAGUGAGGAAUAUUGGUCAAUGGUCGGGAGACUGAACCAGCCAAGCCGCGUGCGGGAGGAAGGUACAGAGUAUCGUAAACCUCUUUUGUCAGGGAACAAAGACUGGGACGCGUCCCCGGAUGAGUGUACCUGAAGAAAAAGCAUCGGCUAACUCCGUGCCAGCAGCCGCGGUAAUACGGAGGAUGCGAGCGUUAUCCGGAUUUAGUGGGUUUAAGGGGUGCGCGGGCGGUCUGUUAAGUCGGCGGUAAAAGCCCGGGGCGAAACCCCGGACCGCCGUUGAAACUGGCAGUCUCGAGUUGGAGAGAAGUAUGCGGAAUGCGCGGUGUAGCGGUGAAAUGCAUAGAUAUC
rnacentral:rRNA from 1 species